GAUAAGCUCAAAAGUAGCGUUUUGAGAUAAAGCCCGUCUAUGGCAUAACUAAAUGUAGCUGGAAUACAGGUAGACCGUUCCAUAAGUUAGUUAGUAAGUCCCACAA
rnacentral:sRNA from 12 species